UACGGGGGGGGCAAGCGUUGUUCGGAAUUACUGGGCGUAAAGGGCGCGUAGGCGGCCUGGUCAGUCGGAUGUGAAAGCCCGGGGCUCAACCCCGGAACGGCAUCCGAGACGGCCAGGCUGGAGACCGGGAGAGGAGAGUGGAAUAGCCAGUGUAGAGGUGAAAUUCGUAGAUAUUGGCUGGAACACCGGUGGCGAAAGCGGCUCUCUGGCCCGGUUCUGACGCUGAGGCGCGAAAGCGUGGGGAGCAAACGGG
rnacentral:rRNA from 1 species